UAGAGUACUGCCCUCCGAAGGCAGGGGUUGCUGGUUCGAUCCCAGCCGGGCGCGCCA
rnacentral:tRNA from 1 species